rnacentral:rRNA from 1 species
UACAGAGGUGGCAAGCGUUGUUCGGAAUUACUGGGCGUAAAGGGCGAGUAGGCGGCCUUCUAAGUCAGACGUGAAAUCCCCCGGCUUAACCUGGGAACUGCGUCUGAUACUGGGAGGCUAGAGUAUGGGAGAGGGAUGUGGAAUUCCAGGUGUAGCGGUGAAAUGCGUAGAUAUCUGGAGGAAUACCGGUGGCGAAGGCGGCAGUCCUGGACCGGCAUUGACGCUGAUGAGCGAAAGCUAGGGGAGCAAACGGGG